rnacentral:lncRNA from 1 species
GUUGGAUCCGAAAAUUCUUGAGGGAUGAGUCUGACGUUGAUUUGAUAUUUCUGUUCCUACCCGGAUGGAGUCAACUCUCACCACCUUAGAGGAAUUACGAGAAAGACUACCAGAGACAUUAUUCUGCUCAAAAGUUUAUUGCUUGUUGUCAUCAUAAAUGCUAAGGGAUAAUAGUGGGUUUCUCUUCCAUACCAGUUCCCCCCCCCCCCCCCCCC